UACGGGGGGAGCAAGCGUUGUUCGGAUUUACUGGGCGUAAAGGGCGCGUAGGCGGUCAGCACAAGUCAGUUGUGAAAUCUCCGGGCUUAACUCGGAAAGGUCAACUGAUACUGUGCGACUAGAGUGCAGAAGGGGCAACUGGAAUUCUCGGUGUAGCGGUGAAAUGCGUAGAUAUCGAGAGGAACACCUGCGGCGAAGGCGGGUUGCUGGGCUGACACUGACGCUGAUGCGCGAAAGCCAGGGGAGGCGAAACGG
rnacentral:rRNA from 1 species